AUGGGAAGCGGGGGCUGGGAACGGGGUGGUGGGAGAUGGGGGGAGGUGGUGGCCGAUGGUUGGGGGGUGGUGGUGGCCAACGGUGGUCGGUUGGUGGCCAACGGUGGUCGGUUGGUGGUGGUCAACGGUGGUUGGUUGGUGGCCAACGGCGGUCGGCUGGUAGCCAACGCUGCUCAGUCGGUGGCCAACAGAGGCUCUUUGGUGGCCAACGGUGGUCUCUCGGGUCGGUUGGCGGCCAACGAUGGUUGGUUGGUAGCCAACGGAGGCUCUUUGAUGGCCAACUGUGGUCACUUGGGUUGGUUGGUGGUCAACGAUGGUUGGUUGGUAGCCAGUGCUGAUCAGUUGGUGGCCAACAACAGUUGGUUGGUAGCCAGUGCUGAUCAGUUGGUGGCCAACGGUGACCACUUGGGACAUUUGGUGGCCAACGGCGGUCGGUUGGUGGCCAAUGGAGGCUCUUUGGUGGCCGAAAGCGGUCGAUUGGUGGCCAACGGUGGUUCCUUGGUGGCUUCUGGUGGUCACUGGGGUUGGUGGGUGGCCACUGGUGGCCAAUAUGGUUGUUUGGUGGCCAGGGUUGAGCUGUUGGUGGCCCACUUGGGGGUCGCCGUGGUUGGGGACUCUGGUGGUCACUUGGGGGUCUUCGGUGGCCACUUGGGGGUCUUUGGUAGUCACCGGGGCCGUGGGGUGGCCCAUGGUGGCCAGCAGGGAUGGUUGGAGGGCGACGGCCAGGAGGACAAAGAUGGCGGCUGGAGGGAGAGCCAUGGGGCUGCCCCACAACUUAUGGGGCAGCUGUGGGGCACAGAGAAGGCGGUACUGUAGGGUGCGGCCCCAUAAAUGAGACGGCGCCCCAUAGAAGCACACAGCGCCCCAUAGCUGCCCCAUAGACCCCAUAGCUGCCCCAUAGCUGCCCCAUAGCUGCCCCAUAGAUCCAUUGGUGCCCCAUAGACCCCAUAGCUGCCCCAUAGAUCUGACUGUGCCCCAUAGCUGCCCCAUAGAUCUGACUCUGCCCCAUAGCUGCCCCAUAGAUCCAUUGGUGCCCCAUAGACCCCAUAACUGCCCCAUAGAUCUGACUCUGCCCCAUAGCUGCCCCAUAGAUCUGAUUCUGCCCCAUAGCUGCCCCAUAGAUCCAUUGGUGCCCCAUAGACACCACAGCUGCCCCAUAGACCUCACAGCUGCCCCAUAGAUCCAUAGCUGCCCCAUAGAUCUACUGGUGCCCCAUAGCUGCCCCAUAGACCCCAUAGCUGCUCCAUACAUCUGACUGUGCCCCAUAGCUGCCCCAUAGAACCUUACAGCGCCCCAUAGCUGCCCCAUAGACCCCAUAACUGCCCCAUAGAUCUGAUUGCGCCCCAUAGCUGCCCCAUAGAAGCUCACAGCGCCCCAUAGCUGCCCCAUAGACCCCAUAACUGCCCCAUAGACCCCACAGCUGCCCCAUAGAUCUGACUCUGCCCCAUAGCUGCCCCAUAGAACCUUACAGCGCCCCAUAGCUGCCCCAUAGAUCCAUUGCUGCCCCAUAGAUCUACUGGUGCCCCAUAGCUGCCCCAUAGAUCUGACUGUGCCCUAUAGCUGCCCCAUAGAACCCAACAGCACCCCAUAGCUGCCCCAUAGCUGCCCCAUAACUGCCCCAUAGAUCCAUUGGUGCCCCAUAGACCCCAUUUCUGCCCCAUAGAUCUGACAGUGCCCCAUAGCUGCCCCAUAGCUGCCCCAUAGAUCCAUUGGUGCCCCAUAGACCCCACAGCUGCCCCAUAGAUCCAUUGCUGCCCCAUAGAUCUACUGGUGCCCCAUAGCUGCCCCAUAGACCCCAUUUCUGCCCCAUAGACUC
rnacentral:lncRNA from 1 species